GGAAGUACAAGUCGUAACAAGGUUUCCGUAGGUGAACCUGCGGAAGGAUCAUUACUGAGUGAGGGCCCUCUGGGUCCAACCUCCCACCCGUGUUUAUUAUACCUUGUUGCUUCGGUGAGCCCGCCUCACGGCCGCCGGGGGGCAUCUGCCCCCGGGCCCGCGCCCACCGAAGACACCUAGAACUCUGUAUGAAGAUUGCAGUCUGAGCAAAAACUAAAUAAGUUAAAACUUUCAACAACGGAUCUCUUGGUUCCG
rnacentral:misc_RNA from 1 species